UACGGAGGGUGCAAGCGUUAUCCGGAAUCAUUGGGUUUAAAGGGUCCGCAGGCGGAUUUAUAAGUCAGUGGUGAAAGCCUACAGCUCAACUGUAGAACUGCCAUUGAUACUGUAGAUCUUGAAUUCGGUCGAAGUGGGCGGAAUAUGACAUGUAGCGGUGAAAUGCUUAGAUAUGUCAUAGAACACCGAUAGCGAAGGCAGCUCACUAGGCCUGGAUUGACGCUCAGGGACGAAAGCGUGGGGAGCAAACAGG
rnacentral:rRNA from 1 species